GGGCCCGCACAAGCGGUGGAGCAUGUGGUUUAAUUCGAUGAUACGCGAGGAACCUUACCAGGGCUUAAAUGUAGAUUGCAUAAGCUAGAGAUAGCUUUUUUCUUCGGACUAUCUACAAGGUGCUGCAUGGUUGUCGUCAGCUCGUGCCGUGAGGUGUCAGGUUAAGUCCUAUAACGAGCGCAACCCCUGUCGUUAGUUGCCAACAGGUUAUGCUGGGAACUCUAACGAGACUGCCGGUGCAAACUGAGAGGAAGGUGGGGACGACGUCAAAUCAUCACGGCCCCUUACCGUGCCUGGGCUACACACGUGCUACAAUGGUCGGUACAGAGAGCAGCCACCUUGCGAAAGG
rnacentral:rRNA from 1 species